UGGUCCGCUGGUCGGCGUGGGGCGGGCCGCUCCUGGUGGCCCUGGUGGCCGGCGUGCUGCGGUUCUGGAACCUCGGCAGUCCGA
rnacentral:tRNA from 1 species